GCUCCGUUCGUCCGUCCGUCCGUCUGUGGUUCCGUUCGUCCGUCCAGGUUAAAGUUUUUGGUCAAGGUAGUUUUUGAUGAAGCUGAAGUCCAAUCAACUUGAAACUUAGUACACUUGUUGCUUAUGAGAUGAUCUUUCUAAUUUUUAAACCAAAUUAGACUUUUGACCCCAAUUUCACGGUCCACUGAACAUAGAAAAUGAAAGUGGAAGUUUCAGGUUAAAGUUUUUGGUCAAGGUAGUUUUUGAUGAAGCUGAAGUCCAAUCAACUUGAAACUUAUUACACUUGUUGCUUAUGAUAUGAUCUUUCUAAUUUUAAUGCCAAAUUAGAUAAUUACCCAAUUUCACGGUCCAUGGAACAUGGAAAAGGAUAGUGCGAGUGGGGCAUCCGUGUACUUUGGACACAUUCUUGUU
rnacentral:lncRNA from 1 species